AUCUAGCUGAGGAGUCGCGACUAGGACAAAACGCGCGUUCUGGAU
rnacentral:hammerhead_ribozyme from 1 species